GAUUAGAGUUUGAUCCUGGCUCAGGAUGAACGCUGGCGGCGUGCUUAAUACAUGCAAGUCGAACGGAGACAGUAGCAAUAUUGUCUUAGUGGCGAACGGGUGAGUAACGCGUUGGUGACCUGCCCCGAAGAGGGGGAUAACAGUCCGAAAGGAUUGCUAAUACCCCAUGUGGUCAUUUGGAUUAGAUGCCUUAUGACUAAACGGAUUUAUUCGCUUCGGGAGGGGCCUGCGUCCCAUCAGCUAGUUGGUAAGGUAAUGGCUUACCAAGGCGAUGACGGGUAGGGGACCUGAGAGGGUGGCCCCCCACAAUGGAACUGAAACACGGUCCAUACACCUACGGGUGGCAGCAGUAGGGAAUAUUGGUAAUGUGCGAAAGCGCGAACCAGCAACGCCGCGUGCGCGAUGAAGGCCUUCGGGUUGUAAAGCGCUUUUUAUGGGGAUGAGGAAGGACAGUACUCAUGAAUAGC
rnacentral:rRNA from 1 species